UAUUUAUAGAGAAUCAAUACAAAUCCUAACAACCUUGCCACUCUGGCAUUUCAUCAAACAUUAGUUGUGCCAGGACAGCUAGCACUAUACCCGGAACCUUCUCAAAUACCCUUCUCCUAAUUACAUUCAUAAGCAUAUUCAAACAACCAAUUAACCAGCAAUUCAUAUUAAACUAUAUAGUCUUGAAAUCUGGAAGGUGGUUUGCUUUGAGUCUGGCGCGUGCUCCUCCACAAUCCUAUCUCAGCCUUCUGGGCACCUGAUUCUUGUGCAACAUGGACAUGGCCGUCAUGAUACAGGUGAAGAACAUCGCCAACGUGGGCGCCUACGUCUCCUUGCUCGAGUACAACAGCAUCGAUGGCAUGGGCAUGAUCCUCUUCGCCAAUCUCUCUUAUUAUUUUUUUUUAAAUUUUUUGGAAGCAGAAUGACUCUACAACCGCUGAAGAUUCGUGGGGACAUUGAGGUGAAGCGCUUGCAGUUUGAUGAUGUCCUCCACAUUAAGCAAGCAAUGAGGAAGAUAGAGGCAGAGGGCAAUGAAGAUUGACCAGUGACAAUUAAGUUAGUUGCACCUCCCCUCUAUGUUCUUACCACUCAAACUCUUGACAAGGUUUGUUGAAUAUUGAAUAUUGACCCUUUUUGUUUUAUUUGAUUAGCUGCUUUUAUGAUAUUUAAUUUUGUAUUUACCGAUGUUGCUUUAUUCUGCUGCAAUAUUAUAGAUUUUGCUUGUGGAGCUUUAUAUAGGAUUGGAAUUAUGAAAUCAGUGUAGAAUUUGAAAGGAAACAUUGAAUCUGUUUAGUGAAAGGACAAACAGAGUGUGUAAGCUAGAUUUAAAAUUGUUUGAGAUUAUAUUGCAGUGAGGUUCAAAAGGUGAGUAGAAAUGAAACACGAGGUUGCUCAUUCAUUCCACUUCCCAUUUUUCUGUUUUUGAGGGUUUUGAAUCCUCAUACUUGAAUUUCUUUGUUUGCAAAAUAAAAGGUCCACAUGAGAUUAGUCAUUUGUUUAUGCCCCAUAAAAAGUUGGGCGAUUAAGGUGAGUUAGUUUGACCAAACGAUGGGUAAAAUGAAUCUUGAAUAAAAGACAAUUCUUGAAUAAUGAUAUUGGUGGAUUGCUUUACAUAUGACAAGUAUUUGUAGUUUCCUUCUUAACUGCUUGUCUUGAAAGUGUGGUUUCCUUAUAUUUGGAUAGAUGAAAGAAAUUUCAUCUAUUGUUUUAAUUGGCACUUAAAUGAGUUAUUUUUAUAUAUUUGGAAAUCAUAAGUUAUUAAGUUUGCAAGUUUAGGGUGCAUCACAUGACUAAAGUAUAUAUUUUGCAGUAUAUCCUAUAUGCAUCACUCAUUUGAUUUUAUAGACUAUUGCAUAAGUUUUUCAUUUGUUUUGCUAAAUGGUCAUCUGGACAGGACUCCAUUUAACCACCACUAGGUGAACUGCGGCAGUGGCACUGACUGUCGGGGCCCAUUUUGAGGUUUAAUUAUUGUGUUGGAUUGCGCUUGUUCAACCUAGCUGUUGGAAAUGUCCAUGCUAGUUAAUUCACUUCCCUUAUAUUUUAUGGAUAACUUCAACAGUCAAGCAGAUAAUGACUCAUUAAUCAUUAACUGCAUCACAUCAUUAAGAUAAGUUUAGACUGAUCAAAUUCCAUCUGUAUUCAACUAAUGAAAUCGUUUGAGAUGAGGAUAUUCAAGCAUAUAGAUUACCUAUAGGUUACUUUUUAAGAUAAUCAUUUGAGAAGUUCUGUAUUUUGUGAAAAGCAAUUGUAGCUUGUCAAAACCAACUUCUUUUGGCCUAGGUGCUUAUAACAUGACAAUAUUAAAUUGAGAAAUAUGGUGAUGUAAGAGUAUAUACUUAUAGCUAAUAAUACAUUUAGUUAAUCUGAUAGAAAUUAUAUGGGAAAGGGAGUUGGUUAUCAUGAUACAAUUGGAUUCAUUAUUAUCAAAAAUAUGGAGUGAAAACUUUAACAGGUGACUUGUCUUCAUGGUUUGAUAUUCUCAUACUGUAGUGAAAAUGAUUAUAAAUGUGUUUAGAAUUUAGGAGAAUGCUAGGUGCAUCAUUCAUUCCUGGCUGCUUGUUAAGGCUCAUAGAUUUCUUACCUGUCAAAAAUUUUGAAAAGUACCAUUGGAUGGAAACUGCAUACCACACACACUUUUAGACAAUAUUCUUGGGGAAGAAGGUGCUAUUGUAUGGAUCUUACAAUCAAUGCAUGCUUUGUGUUGGAAAACUAUUGAGCUGCACUGUAUUUUUGACUUGGUUACUACUUGUGGUCAGCAUGUUGGUCAUUUUGUUCGAAAAGAGUAAACUUUGGUGGUUUGUGGGAGUCAUCUUCUGAGUAGUGUUCUUCUUCUGCAUUAAGAAUUACCCAUUUACAAAUUUCAUUCGUUGACUGAAUCUAUGGGACUAAUAUGUACAUGUCUACAUUCUGAUUAAGUGCUUCUUUUUUGGCCACAAGCUUGUUCUGAUUGGCAUAAGCUAUAUAUAUAUAUAUAUAUAUAUAUAUUACAUCAAAGCGAUUUGCUUAAAAUUAAGCUUCUUACUGGAUAAUGUGAGCUUUUAUUUGGCAUGAAUCAUUUGUUAUUUCUACACAAGCACCAAGUGGUUGAUUGGCAAGAUACAUGUCCAACACCCAUGAAUCAUCCAUCAAUUUUGCCUUUCAUUAAUUUUUUUCCUGUUUGCAAUCCGAAGUUUCUUUUUCACUGGAGCAAGGGAUUUCUGUCUUAAAUAAUGCAACCAAAGCAUGCACUGAGGAAAUGGAACAUCACAAGGGAAAGCUUAUAGUAAUGGAAGCACCAAGAGGCAUGAGUUUCCAUAGAAAUAUCUUAUCUUUAAAUUGUUUAAUGCUUCUUCCCUUAUUUUAUCUUUGUCCUUUUGCUGAAAUGGGGUUGGCAAUUUUUAAAAGUGGAAAGAAAGUUUCCUUUUCGCCUCUUCUAUUUCAUGAUUUUAAUUUUCCUUUAUGAGUAUUAUUAGUGUUAGACUAAUAAUGCUCUUUGCAUCUGAUGUGAUAUGUGGGAAAUUGUUUAUCAACUUAAUAAUUUUCUGGGUGAGCAAACGGGAUGACAAGCUUCUUGCUGAGCAUAGUUCUAAACUGGUAUCUGCUAAUGAAGUUGAUGGAGAUGAUGGAAGUGAAGAAGUAGAAGAAGAUUCAUGAAUGGGCAAGUUAGAUGUGGAAAAUCCUGGUGGUCUACCUGAGUAAAAAAACAAAGAUAAAACAACUGGCCACAAAAAGGCAUUAAGAUUGUCAGUUGGGCCAAUAUCAGUACUGCUCAUGAAGUGUGCAAAUAAAUUUGAUGAGACACAGAACUUAUUCCCUAAUCAAUUUGACAAGAAUCUAGGUAUGAGAUCUGACCUUCUGUCUAAAUUAUUUCAUUGUUGAAUCAUGACUAAUCUUCACAUGCAUCUGUUUGCAUAUUUUCCCCUUGAGGCCAAUUGAAACUAUGAAUUUAUUUUUUGCUCAAUUGAGGUUAAGUUAUAGAACCGGCUUUUCCAUUUAUUGUGCAAUCUCAGAAGCUCUUCAUUUAUUUACCACCUUAAAUUUUUUUCUCUCUCUAUUAAGGUUAAGGUCUUUUUCUAAUACUUAUUUUCACUGUCUGUUCUUUUUCACUGGAAGAUGUAUUCUGUCUUAGUAAAGAUUAGGUUACUAGUGUUACUAGAAACAAAUAAUAAUUAUGACUUACAUACAAAUGGUUGAGUAGUGAUAGCAAAUACAAGAAAAUUGGGUAUUAGGAUUUUAAUAUCUUUAACCUAUAAUUUGCAUCCCACUUUUCUUUGCAGAACAAUUUCAUCAUACCAUUGGUGACUUUUGGUAAACAGUCAAUCUCAUGGUAAUACAAAAACACAAGAACUUGGAGAGAGACCUUUUGGCAAGGAUUGAGAGAUCUUAUUAAAUCCUCACACCUUGGAUAGGCAUUUGUUCGCCAUGGUCUGAUUUAUCAUACAGGUUUUAACCAACAUUUCUAGAGUGAUAGGCUUGGACUUUUCUUGCAAGGUGAUAUCAGGUUUAUCAUUAUUGGUUUUAAUUAAUAUUUCUAGAAGAGAUAGGCAGGUGAUUUUUAAUCAUUUCAUGAAUAUGGUGUUUAAUCAACAUUUCUAGAGAGAUGCAUAGGUAACACAGAGAGAGAGAGAGGAGAGAGCGCAAAGCUUGGAAGUAAACAUGGAGCAUCACAAGAUUGUGAUGAGAAAGGAGGGGGCAAUGCAAAUGCUAUUGGAAAGACACAGAACUACGUAACCCUGAAAAGAAUCUAAAAACAGCAUGGAUUGAAAGGUAAUAAAACAAACGAAACAAUUUGAUUUGGAUCAUGUCCCAAUCAAAUUCUCUCAAUUCUCUCAUGGACUGUGAUGUGUGGACCUUCUCUUGUCGGAUUUAUUCUUUGGCUAAGAAACAAGCUCCCCACCAACUCCAUCUAUGUAUUUCCUCUUCCUAUGGUUUCAUCUCUCUAACACUCUUUCCUUUAAUUUCCAUCCAUUUGUCUCUUUAGUUUGUCACACUAAUCAUGAAUUUGUGGUGAAAUUACUUGUUAUGUUUUGUUUUGUUUCAGUGAUAGUUUAAUACAAAUUAUUUGUUUCCUUGACAUACAAGAUGUGUGCAAAACUAUAGGAAGUGAUUGAUUCUUUGAGCAUCUGAUAAUUCCCUCUUUCAACUGUUUUAGCAAUCAAUCAUAUCAAACUUAGAUCCUAAGCAAUGUUAUUAAGCUUGCCACUUUAAUUUAAUUUCAUAUUCUUAGCUCAUUAGGUCUUCUCCUGGUCCCCCCUUCAAUGAAUGAAUGAAUUUUUAUUGUUCCUUGGUGAAUGACUAGAGAGAGAGAGAGAGAGAGGUCUAAUUUUUAAUUUUUUCUUCUUUGUUAUUAUUAUCUCUUGUUUCCUAUAGUCAAUCACAAGGAACAUUGAGAGAGAGAAGUGAUUUUGAUUUGGAUGUGGAUGCUUUGAGGUCAAGAAAGUUCUCAAGUGCUAGAAAACAAAGUGCUUUUAGGGAAUGGUACAAAAGCCAGCCUUAACCUGUUCCUCUUUUCACUAAGGUCAUAAUGAACUGGUUCUAUUCAAUUUCAAUACUAUAAAAGCACUCCUCUAUAGAAUGUCUUAUGAGAAUUUUGCCAUCACUUAACUUAAUUUCAGCUCUAAUUCAAACUUCAGCAAUUCACAUUAAUAAAUAUGUUCUAUUCCAGCAAUGUUUUUGUUUGAGAGAAUUAGAAUUUUAG